CUACGGGCGGCAGCAGUGGGGAAUUUUGCGCAAUGGGGGAAACCCUGACGCAGCAAUACCGCGUGAGUGAAGAAGGCCUUUGGGUCGUAAAGCUCCUUUCUGAGGGAAGAUAGUGACGGUACCUCAGGAAUAAGCACCGGCUAACUCCGUGCCAGCAGCCGCGGUAAUACGGAGGGUGCAAGCGUUGUUCGGAUUUACUGGGCGUAAAGGGCACGUAGGCGGCACAGCAAGUUAAGGGUGAGAUCCCGGGGCUCAACUCCGGAACUGCUCUUAAAACUGCUGAGCUAGAGAUAGUCAGAGGCGGGUGGAAUUCCAGGUGUAGAGGUGAAAUUCGUAGAUAUCUGGAGGAACACCGGUGGCGAAGGCGGCCCGCUGGGGCUAUUCUGACGCUAAGGUGCGAAAGCGUGGGGAGCGAACGGGAUUAGAUACCCGGGUAGUC
rnacentral:rRNA from 1 species